rfam:Lactobacillus rhamnosus MTCC 5462 contig231, whole genome shotgun sequence.
UAACAACUGAUAAACUAAAACCAACAAUGCUACGCGACGGCGGCUCUUUUUGAAGAAGGGGAUGGUGCUUAUGGUGUAAAAACGAUAAGACCGCAGAAUUCUUUAGAAAGGAGCAGAAAUGUCCGACUUCGAAGCUUUGAGCCUCAUGAUCAUGGCCACACUAUUGUUGAUUGCCGUGAUCGAGUUGGUUCUAAAGCUAAU